GUAGGGUGCGAGCGUUAAUCGGAAUUACUGGGCGUAAAGCGUGCGCAGGCGGUUAUGUAAGACAGAUGUGAAAUCCCCGGGCUCAACCUGGGAACUGCAUUAGUGACUGCAUAGCUGGAGUACGGCAGAGGGGGAUGGAAUUCCGCGUGUAGCAGUGAAAUGCGUAGAUAUGCGGAGGAACACCGAUGGCGAAGGCAAUCCCCUGGGCCUGUACUGACGCUCAUGCACGAAAGCGUGGGGAGCAAACAGGAUUAGAUACCCUGGUAGUCCCACGCCCCUAAACGAUGUCAACUGGUUGUUGGGUCUUCACUGACUCAGUAACGAAGCUAACGCGUGAAGUUGACCGCCUGGGGAGUACGGCCGCAAGGUUG
rnacentral:rRNA from 1 species